GGGCGGGGGCGGGUGGGGCUAGGGGACUGGGGGGCCGGGGUGGGCGGGACGGGGCGGGGGCGGGGUUUUGGCGGUGCUUCGGGUGACAACGGUCAAUAAUGAAGGUGGCUGCGGCGCGGCGGCAGACUCAGCAGUGCCGGGCGGGGGCGGCGUCGAGGCUGCGCCUGUAGGAGCUCGGGGCCGCCGCGGCGCGAUGGGGACCCGGCGCGGGGAGUGAGGUGGCGGCGGCGGCGGCGAGCGGAACUUUAGCCAGAGGGGAUCUCCCGCUUCCCCCUCUGGCUCGGCGGCUUCCACCUGCGGCCCCUCGGCUCCCGCGUCCCGCGGGUCCGGGACGGCGACGGCCGGGGCAUGUGGUGCUGGAUCCGGCGGCAGCUGGGUUUUGACCCACCACAUCAAAGUGACUCAAGAACCAUUUACAUAGCCAACAGGUUUCCUCAGAGUGGCCUUUACACACCUCAGAAAUUUAUAGAUAACCGGAUCAUUUCAUCUAAGAGCCCUGAGCAUAGUUCCCAUCCCCAAAUUCUGGAACCACUGGUGCUACCACUUCCACAGGAAAAUAUGUUUCAGUAUACUGUGUGGAAUUUUGUUCCAAAAACUUUAUUUGAACAAUUCAGAAGAGUUGCAAACUUUUAUUUUCUUAUUAUAUUUUUGGUUCAGCUUAUGAUUGAUACACCUACCAGUCCAAUUACCAGUGGACUUCCGUUAUUCUUUGUGAUAACAGUAACUGCCAUAAAGCAGGGAUAUGAAGAUUGGUUACGACAUAACUCAGAUAAUGAAGUAAAUGGAGCUCCUGUUUAUGUUGUUCGAAGUGGUGGCCUUGUAAAAACCAGAUCAAAAAACAUUCGGGUGGGUGAUAUUGUUCGAGUAGCCAAAGAUGAAAUUUUCCCUGCAGAUUUGGUGCUUCUGUCCUCAGAUCGACUUGAUGGUUCUUGUCACAUUACAACUGCCAGUUUAGAUGGAGAAACUAACCUGAAGACACAUGUGGCAGUUCCAGAAACAGCAGUAUUACAAACAGUUGCCAAUUUGGACACUCUUGAAGCUGUCAUAGAAUGUCACCAGCCAGAAGCAGAUUUGUACAGAUUCAUGGGACGGAUGAUAAUAACUCAAAGAAUGGAAGAAAUUGUAAGACCUCUGGGGCCAGAGAGUCUCUUGCUUCGUGGAGCCAGACUGAAAAACACAAAAGAAAUUUUUGGUGUUGCUGUCUACACUGGAAUGGAAACUAAGAUGGCAUUAAAUUACAAGAGCAAGUCACAGAAACGAUCUGCAGUGGAAAAGUCAAUGAACACAUUUUUGAUCAUUUAUCUCAUAAUCCUUAUUGCUGAAGCCAUCAUCAGUACUAUCUUGAAAUAUACAUGGCAAGCUGAAGAAAAAUGGGAUGAACCUUGGUAUAACCAAAAAACAGAACAUCAAAGAAAUAGUAGUAAGAUUCUGAGAUUUAUUUCAGACUUCCUUGCUUUUUUGGUACUCUACAAUUUCAUCAUUCCAAUUUCAUUAUACGUGACAGUAGAAAUGCAGAAAUUUCUUGGAUCGUUUUUUAUUGGCUGGGAUCUUGAUCUCUAUCAUGAAGAAUCAGAUCAGAAAGCACAAGUCAAUACUUCUGAUCUGAAUGAAGAGCUUGGACAGGUGGAGUAUGUGUUUACAGAUAAAACUGGUACACUGACGGAAAAUGAGAUGCAGUUUCGGGAAUGUUCAAUUAAUGGCAUAAAGUACCAAGAAAUCAAUGGUAGACUUGUAUCUGAAGGACCGUCACCAGACUCUUCAGAAGGAAACUUAUCUUAUCUUAGUAGUUUACCCCAUCUUAAUAACUUAUCCCAUUUUACAACCAGUUCCUCUUUUGGAAGCAGUCCUGAAAAUGAAACUGAACUAAUUAAAAAACAUGAUCUCUUCUUUAAAGCAGUCAGUCUCUGUCACACUGUACAGAUUAGCAGUGUUCAGACUGAUGGCAUUGGUGAUGGUCCUUGGCAAUCAAACCUUGCACCCUCCCAGUUAGAGUACUAUGCAUCUUCACCAGAUGAAAAAGCACUAGUGGAAGCUGCUGCAAGAAUUGGCGUUGUGUUUAUUGGCAGUUCUGAAGAAACUGUGGAAGUUAAAACACUUGGAAAACUGGAACGGUACAAACUACUUCAUGUUCUGGAAUUUGAUUCGGAUCGUAGGAGAAUGAGUGUUAUUGUUCAGGCACCUUCAGGUGAGAAGUUUUUAUUUGCUAAAGGAGCUGAGUCAUCAAUUCUCCCUAAAUGUAUAGGUGGAGAAAUAGAAAAAACCAGAAUUCAUGUAGAUGAAUUUGCUUUGAAAGGGCUAAGAACUCUGUGUAUGGCCUAUAGACAGUUGACAUCUAAAGAGUAUGAGGAAAUAGACAGACGCCUCUUUGAAGCCAGGACUGCCUUGCAACAACGGGAAGAGAAAUUGGCACAUGUCUUCCAGUUCAUAGAGAAAGACCUGAUAUUACUUGGAGCUACAGCAGUAGAAGACAGACUACAAGAUAAAGUUCGAGAAACUAUUGAAGCGUUGAGAAUGGCUGGUAUCAAAGUAUGGGUGCUUACUGGAGAUAAACAUGAAACAGCUGUUAGUGUGAGUUUAUCAUGUGGACAUUUUCACAGAACCAUGAACAUUCUCGAACUUACAAACCAGAAAUCAGACAGCGAUUGUGCUGAACAAUUGAGGCAGCUUGCCAGAAGAAUUAAAGAGGAUCACGUGAUUCAACAUGGCCUCGUGGUGGAUGGGACCAGCCUCUCUCUUGCACUCAGGGAGCAUGAAAAACUAUUUAUGGAUGUUUGCAGAAAUUGUUCAGCUGUAUUAUGCUGUCGUAUGGCACCACUGCAGAAAGCAAAGGUAAUAAGACUGAUAAAAGUCUCACCUGAGAAACCUAUAACACUGGCUGUUGGUGAUGGUGCUAAUGACGUAAGCAUGAUACAAGAAGCACAUGUUGGCAUAGGAAUCAUGGGUAAAGAAGGAAGACAAGCUGCAAGAAACAGUGACUAUGCAAUAGCUAGAUUUAAAUUCCUCUCCAAAUUGCUUUUUGUUCAUGGUCAUUUUUAUUAUAUUAGAAUAGCUACCCUUGUACAGUAUUUUUUUUAUAAGAAUGUGUGCUUUAUCACACCCCAAUUUUUAUAUCAGUUCUACUGUUUGUUUUCUCAGCAAACACUGUAUGACAGCGUGUACCUGACUUUAUACAAUAUUUGUUUUACUUCCCUACCUAUUCUGACAUAUAGUCUAUUGGAACAGCAUAUAGACCCUCACGUUUUACAGAACAAGCCCACCCUGUAUCGAGACAUUAGUAAAAACCGUCAACUAAGCAUUAAAACAUUUCUUUAUUGGACCAUCCUGGGUUUCAGUCAUGCCUUUAUUUUCUUUUUUGGAUCCUAUUUUCUAAUGGAGAAAGAUAUAUCUCUGCUUGGAAAUGGCCAGAUGUUUGGAAACUGGACAUUUGGCACCUUAGUCUUCACAGUCAUGGUUAUUACAGUCACAGUAAAGAUGGCUUUGGAAACUCAUUUUUGGACUUGGGUCAACCAUCUUGUUACCUGGGGAUCUAUUAUAUUCUAUUUUGUAUUUUCUUUGUUUUAUGGAGGGAUUCUCUGGCCAUUUUUGAGCUCCCAAAAUAUGUACUUUGUAUUUAUUCAGCUCCUAUCAAGUGGUUCUGCUUGGUUUGCCAUAAUCCUCAUGGUUGUUACUUGUCUAUUUCUUGAUAUUGUGAAGAAAGUAUUUGACCGACUGCUCCAUCCUACAAAUACUGAAAAGGCACAGAUGUACUCCAACACAGUUGCUUUAAGUGACGAGUUCAUCGCACUGCAGCCAUUGUCGAGGGCAAGGAAUCAGCUGAGCAAAAUUAGGUAGAGUAGGAGGAGUAGAACCUCAUUAACUCUUCUGCAUGCUAAAGCUUGCUGAAACAAAUUCAAGUAUCAAGUGCUUGGACUCCAUGUGCUGUUUCUCAGAAGGAGAAACAGUGUGCGCAUCUGUUGGAAGAAUGCUGGAACGAGUAAUAGGAAGAUGUAGUCCGACCCAUGUCAGCAGAUUAUGGAGUGCAUCGGAUCCUUUCUGUAGCAACGACAGGAGCAUCUUGACUCUCUCCACAAUGGAAUCAUCCACUUGUUAAAGUGGCAGUAGUACUUUGUGGGAGCCAUUUCAACUCCUUUCCUCAAAUUCAGCAUGAUCAUCCUGGUAAUGGCCGUGCUGGCUCCUCAGAUUUGCUUUCUGAAAUCUCGGGGAGUAGUUCACACCCACUCAGUUAUAAUGGCAAACAAACAAAAAGCAUUAACACGAGCCCCUUCCAGCCCCCUGAAUUUAAAUCUAAACAUGUUAAAAUUUUUGAAUAAAGAGACAUUUUCCAUCUCUUUGUCUGGAUUGUCCCUUGUGCUUAUGGGACUCUUUAAUGGCAUUUCAGCCUCUUGCUAAGGCCACUAUAUUUUAAUAUCAAGAUAGACAAGGGAGAUAAUUCCUAGUUAAUUGUAUUUUUUAGUAUUAGCUUGGUUAUUGAGUGUUCUAUUUAAAUCUGCUUCUGUAAAUUAUGCUGAAAAGUUUGCCUUGAAAACUCUAUUUUUUUAUUAGAGUUAUAUUUGAAGCUUUUCAUGAGAAAAGUUAAUGUGAAUAGUAAGGAAUUUUGGUCUCUCAGUGACCUAUGUUGUUAAUUCAUUAAUGCUUUCUAAGUUCACAGAGCAAAUUAGGAGAAUGCGUUUCCAACCGUUUUUUCCUGCACUUUGGUAGUAAAUACAUAGGAAUACCAGACUUCUCUCUGUGUACUGUAGCACAACCAGUAAAGUUAACCAUUUACAUGCAAGCGGUGUACCAUAUCUCAUAUCUGUAAACUGGAAUCAAGUCCAUUCGCCAAAUUUCAAUAUGAUGUUUACUAAUAUUUUUGUGACAGAAUAUGAAGAACCGUUAGGGUGUAAAUUAUAUACCAUUAGCAUAUUAUUAUUUAAUGUGUUUAUCAUUGGAUCUUUUGCAUGCUUUAAUCUGAUUAAUAUAUUUCUAUUUGCUUUUUUUCUCUCUAUCUGAAAGCUCUGUUUAUAGUAUUUUAUGACACUGUUGUCAAGUUCAACUGUAUCAAUAAAAAAAAAUUUGGACAGGAUUUAAAUAUUGCAAAUACUUUUAAUUAUACAAAUAAAAAUAUUAGCGUAAUUAAGCCAAUAAAAAGAGAAAAGCCUCUUUCUUUGGCUAACUUAGACUUGCUCUUGCCUUUCUUUAAGCUAGAUUUUAGAAUAAAGGAUUUUAGGUGAGAAUCCUGUUAUUUUUAGGUUAGUAUACAUUAUCCAAAUUACAGCAUACCACCACAGUAAAGUGAAAUUUGCCCAGUGUCCAAUUAUAAGGUAUAUUUUCAGGUGUGGCUAUAGGAUGUAAAUGAAACAAAGGCUAAAAUGCUAAAUUCUGUGAGGUAAUGGCAGCAAUAAAUUAAAUGCUAAGAAUGAUUAAUCAGGUACAUAUUACUGUAAUUAACUUACUGCACUUUAGUAGUUAAUUUCCAUCCUGAAUUUAUCAUGUCGAUCCAGUGUUGUCAUUUGUUUUGACAAAAAGUAAUGUUGUUUACAUUUGGAAAUUUGGAGAUGAUUAUUGGUCUAAGAACUAUUACCCAGCCCUAGGCAUAUAAUGAUUGUGUACAUAUACAUUUAAAAUUAUAUGGAAUGGUUAACUAAGGUUUUGCAAAAGUUUUGUCUUGAGAAUAUGCUAAUUCCUUUUUAUAUUUUUAUUGCACAAACCUCCACCCCUUUCCCGUUUCAUGAAUAUGAGACUUCUGGAAUUGGGCUGAUGAGAAAAUAAUGUAGAGUCAACAGUUAAGAUUUUACUUUUGUUCACUGAUAAACUUAUUUUUUGCAAGAUAGCAUUUGCCUUUUAAUAAUGCAAAGCUAUGAAUUUUAGCCUAAAUAUUAAUUUUCAUAAAUAGUUCUGCUUUAACUUAGAUAUUCCAAAAUUGGGUUUAGGAAGAUACUGUUAUUCUGGAAUACACUCAAGGGAUAAUAAAAUGUCCAAUGUAUAUACUCACCAAUUCAUGCUCCAGAAGAGGAAAUACUGCAGAAAAUAUUCAGUAGAGAGUUUAGUGGAGGAUAAUAUGGACUUUGCUUUUUCUUAGAAUGUCUUAUAAAGUGUUCAUAUAACAAAAUGACGUUCAGUAGACCAACGUUCAGUACAUCAACCUUACAGUGUUUAUUAGCCAUCAGCUAAACCGACUACUGACACUAGAGAAGGACUACAAAGCCAUCAAGAGGUCUCUGACCAACUUCAGCAAGACAGGAGGACAGCUGGCCUGUAUGGCGCUUAAAUGAUUGAUGUCGUUUUCCGUGUUCACGAUUUGAAGCUAUUUAAGAACUUUAUAUAAAAAAAAGUAAAUGGCAUCCACUGAUAUGGUCAUCCUCCUCUGUUGUUCAAAACCUACUCCAUUAAAAGGAAGAUGAUCUUGUAACGGCAAGAAAAGGAUUUUCUCCUAUUUAAGAAAGGAACAGUGUUGUCUACAAGCUUUCAAUAGUUUUCUAGUGCUAAUAUUCACGUUGUAAAACGAUUACUACAUAACCAGUAGUCACAGGAAAUUUCCUCUUUGCAUAUUUCUUUAAAAUCCUCUGGAAAGUACGAUGUUGAUAAUUAACUUACUCUUAUCUGCCAAAACCAGAGUAAGAUGUCACAUGUGUUAUUGCUAGUUAAUUAAUGGUCUCAAAUCUAUUUGCCUCACUUGCUUGCCUUUGCCUACUCUGAAGGCUGCAGCCCUAAAGAUAGCAAGCACUAAGUCAGUUUCCAGAAUUGCCCAUCAGCUGCUUUAGGUGACUUCACAGCCUGCCACAGCUUUAGCAGGCCUUAGGAUCACCUAGGAGCAGAGUGCAGGCCAGGAGAACUGCAGCUUCCCACGCUUCCUGUGGAGUUGAGAAGAAAAAGGGAGAGUUUACAGGUUGAAUUUCUCUUAACUACCCUUUUCCUUGGGUCUUAAUCUCCAUGAUGUCCAAAGGCUUCCCUCACUGGAUCCAAACUCUGGCACUGUCUGAGUAGGAGAUUAAAAAGAGGCAAGUCACCUUGUUAAGAAAUACCUUCACUCAGGCCAGGGUCAUUUCCACUGCCUAAGAUUGUGAAAUUGGGCUUGCGUGAUAAGCUGGAGACUCCUCUCUGAUAGAUGGGAGUCAUGGCUACUAAAAAAUUUACAAUUAAUACCAAAAGUUUUUCACAUAUGCUUCUCUGAAAAGUUAUUGGGGGACGGGGGAAAAGAGAAAAUCUUCUGUGUUUGUGUUUUUCCUGUAAAGAUAGAUUUAGGAUAUGAUAUAAGCAUGUAUUAAUAAAACUAACACACCAAAGAGUUAUGUAAAACAUGUUUUAUUAAUUUUGGUCCCCCUUUAGAGACAUUUUUAUUUCUGUCUUGAAAUGAGUGAUCUAUAUUCAUAAAACCAGAACAUUAUAAAGUGCUGUUUAUGUGAGAUAACUUGAGUGAUAUUCCUUCAAAAAAAUAGAUCAUAACUAAUGAUAUGUUUGUAAUGGUGAUUGUUAGAUUUUAUUAGUAGCUGGAAAUACUGUAGCAACACUUAGUCUGAAAUUUGGACCUCAGACACUGUGGCUGUCUAAUACAAUCCUUUAAAAAUUCUGUGCAUCUUCAGUAAGUGCAGUAUACUUCUUGUACAGCUCUCAGUAAUUUUUUAAAGUUUAUGAAAUUAUAUUUAUCAAAUAAAAAUGUUUCUAUAUAAA